UACGUAGGGUGCGAGCGUUGUCCGGAAUUAUUGGGCGUAAAGAGCUCGUAGGCGGUUUUGUCGCGUCUGCCGUGAAAGUCCGGGGGCUCAACUCCGGAUCUGCGGUGGGGUACGGGGCAGACUAGAGUGAUGUAGGGGGAGACUGGAAUUCCUGGGUGUAGCGGUGAAAAUGCGUAGAUAUCGGGGAGGAACACCAGUGGCGA
rnacentral:rRNA from 1 species